CCUACGGGUGGCUGCAGUCGAGAAUCAUUCACAAUGGGGGAAACCCUGAUGGUGCGACGCCGCGUGGGGGAAUGAAGGUCUUCGGAUUGUAAACCCCUGUCAUGUGGGAGCAAAUUAAAAAGAUAGUACCACAAGAGGAAGAGACGGCUAACUCUGUGCCAGCAGCCGCGGUAAUAAAGAGGUCUCAAGCGUUGUUGGGAAUAACUGGGCGUAAGCGUGGGUAGGCGGUUUCGUAAGUCAGGUGCGAAAGGGGCGGGCUCAACCCGCGGACGGCACAUGAUACUGCGAGACUAGAGUAAUGGAGGGGGGACCGGAAGUCUCGGUGUAGCAGUGAAAUGCGUAGAUAGCGAGAGGAACACUCGUGGCGAAGGCGGGUUCCUGGACAUUAACUGACGCUGAGGCACGAAGGCCAGGGGAGCGAAAGGGAUUAGAUACCCUUGUAGUC
rnacentral:rRNA from 1 species